GGGUUGGCUGUAGCUCAGCGGUUACUUCGUGGCUAUUCAAUUAUGAAUAAAUCCUUUCAGGGGUUCGAAACCCCGCGGGCGCUAUCUAACCUUUUU